AUGGACGAAAGUCUGACGGAGCAACGCCGCGUGAGUGAUGACGGCCUUCGGGUUGUAAAGCUCUGUUAAUCGGGACGAAAGGCCUUCUUGCGAAUAGUUAGAAGGAUUGACGGUACCGGAAUAGAAAGCCACGGCUAACUACGUGCCAGCAGCCGCGGUAAUACGUAGGUGGCAAGCGUUGUCCGGAAUUAUUGGGCGUAAAGCGCGCGCAGGCGGAUUGGUCAGUCUGUCUUAAAAGUUCGGGGCUUAACCCCGUGAUGGGAUGGAAACUGCCAAUCUAGAGUAUCGGAGAGGAGAGUGGAAUUCCUAGUGUAGCGGUGAAAUGCGUAGAUAUUAGGGAGAACACCAGUGGCGAAGGCGACUUUCUGGACGAAAACUGACGCUGAGGCGCGAAAGCCAGGGGAGCGAACGGGAUUAGAUACCCCGGUAGUCCUGGCCGUAAACGAUGGGUACUAGGUGUAGGAGGUAUCGACCCCUUCUGUGCCGGAGUUAACGCAAUAAGUACCCCGCCUGGGGAGUACGACCGCAAGGUUGAAACUCAAAGGAAUUGACGGGGGCCCGCACAAGCGGUGGAGUAUGUGGUUUAAUUCGACGCAACGCGAAGAACCUUACCAGGUCUUGACAUUGAUGGACAGAACUAGAGAUAGUUCCUCUUCUUCGGAAGCCAGAAAACAGGUGGUGCACGGUUGUCGUCAGCUCGUGUCGUGAGAUGU
rnacentral:rRNA from 1 species